rnacentral:tRNA from 1 species
AUUUAUAUAGUUAAAUUUAUAAUGAAGAAUUGUGGUUUCUUUGUAGAGUGAUUUCUAUAAAUA